CCGAGAAUAUUCGACAAUGGGCGAAAGCCUGAUCGAGCGAUACCGCGUGGUGGAUGAAGCGAUUCGUCGCGUAAACACCUUUUAUGGAGGAGGAAGUCAUUGACGUUACUCCAUGAAUAAGGGGCUCCUAACUCUGUGCCAGCAGGAGCGGUAAUACAGAGGCCCCAAGCGUUACCCGGAAUUACUGGGCGUAAAGAGUGCGUAGGUGGUCGUGUUAGUCGUUUGUUAAAUCCCACGGCUCAACCGUGGACAUGCAGGCGAAACGGCACGACUCGAGGGAGUGAGAGGUGAAUGGAACUCAUGGUGUAGGGGUGAAAUCCGUUGAUAUCAUGGGGAACACCGAAAGCGAAGGCAAUUCACUGGCACUUUCCUGACACUCAAGCACGAAAGCGUGGGUAGCGAACGGGAUUAGAUACCCAGGUAGUCCCUGAGCGGGCUGGCAAGGCGCAU
rnacentral:rRNA from 1 species